UACGUAGGGGGCAAGCGUUGUCCGGAUUUAUUGGGCGUAAAGAGCGUGUAGGCGGCCUGGAAGGUCAGCUGUGAAAACUCGAGGCUCAACCUCGAGACGUCGGUUGAAACCACCUGGCUAGAGUCCGGAAGAGGAGAGUGGAAUUCCCGGUGUAGCGGUGAAAUGCGCAGAUAUCGGGAGGAACACCAGAGGCGAAGGCGGCGACCUGGACAAGCACUGACACUCAACUACGAAAGCGUGGGUAGCAAACAGG
rnacentral:rRNA from 1 species